rnacentral:lncRNA from 1 species
GAAAUCCGAGCGAGUCCUAAUGUUUCGUAUGCUAUAGCCUACGCCUUAUUCCGUGGCCCCAAGCCCCCGAACCCAAAUCGUCUAAAUGUUUUCUCGGACAUCCAAUGCGGCAAAAGGAACCAAAGUCACCGCCCGACCAUGACCAAAUUACAUUUUUUGGAUGUAUACGGCCAUAAAAUUCGAAAUCCGCGCGUGUCCUAAUUUUUCGUGUG